AUUGAACGCUGGCGGCAGGCCUAACACAUGCAAGUCGAGCGGAUGAAGGGAGCUUGCUCCUGGAUUCAGCGGCGGACGGGUGAGUAAUGCCUAGGAAUCUGCCUGGUAGUGGGGGAUAACGUCCGGAAACGGGCGCUAAUACCGCAUACGUCCUGAGGGAGAAAGUGGGGGAUCUUCGGACCUCACGCUAUCAGAUGAGCCUAGGUCGAAUUAGCUAGUUGGUGGGGUAAAGGCCUACCAAGGCGACGAUCCGUAACUGGUCUGAGAGGAUGAUCAGUCACACUGGAACUGAGACACGGUCCAGACUCCUACGGGAGGCAGCAGUGGGGAAUAUUGGACAAUGGGCGAAAGCCUGAUCCAGCCAUGCCGCGUGUGUGAAGAAGGUCUUCGGAUUGUAAAGCACUUUAAGUUGGGAGGAAGGGCAGUAAGUUAAUACCUUGCUGUUUUGACGUUACCAACAGAAUAAGCACCGGCUAACUUCGU
rnacentral:rRNA from 1 species